UUAUAUGACCAAGUUAUUUGUAAAUGCUUAUUUCUAAUCCUCCUAAGAUACAUUUAAAUUUCAAGUAUAAUUUCAAUGUCAGUAUAUCAUGAAGGAAAAUUGCUAGAAUUUGUAACCAUCAGUGAAGAAUGCAUUUUAAACAUUUUUUCUAAAUGACCAUUUUUUCCAGAAAUUAUACAAAAAUCAGGUUACAAGACUUAUUUUUUCUGACCAACUAGAUAUUAAAUCAAAUUCAGGUAUAGAAUAAUCAGAGUGAUUCUAGAGUAUGGUAUAUUGAUCCUGUUGGAGCAGCUGGCUGCUUUUCAGUCUUUUUUUCCCCCAGUGUUCAAGGUCGGAUUUAAUUUAUAUUGAAAGAAGCAAGCUUGGAAAACCCAUAAGAAGUCUGGAUUUAAUAAACUAAUAUCAAACUCAUCUGUUUGGCUAGUGAUAGCUAAUGUUAAAAAUGGAUCUUUUUCCAUAACUUCACAGAAUGCAUUUCCCAUUUUCCUCUAGGCCUCUUAAAUUGUAAAUCUCAAAAAAGAGAAAAGCAGAGUGAUACACUCCAAAUCAGUCCAAGUGAGGCAGAAUAAUAUACUAUGUGAUAAUACUUGGCAUGGUUAAUAAUAGCACAUGGUAGGUAUUUACUCAGUGUCUGCUAAAUGAAUUAAAAUAUAGUAAGUAGAUAUAUAUUUGAAAUAUUUGCUAUAGUUGUCAGUAAAACUUCUUGUCAUCCUUACCACUAUUUCAUUCCAUCAAUACUUUACUGAACAUUUACUAAAUUCAGACACUGAGCUAUUUCUUAAGGCAGAGAGAAAUACAAAGGUUAAAAUAUAUAAUUAAUACUCUCAGGGGCUCACAGGCUAGUGGGCAAGAUAGACUUUUAACUUCUUUUUUUUUUUUAGACAAAAUCUAGCUCUUGUCCCCCAGGCUGGAGUGCAAUGGUGCAAUCUCAGCUCACUGCAACCUCCGCCUCCCGAGUUCAAGCGAUUCUCCUGCCUCAGCCUCCUGAGUAGCUGGUAUUACAAGGGCCCGCCCCACGCCCGGCUAAUUUUUGUAUUUUUAGUACAGACAGGGUUUCACCAUGUUGGCCAGGCUGGUCUUGAACUCCUGACCUCAGGUGGUCUGCCCACUUCAGCCUCCCAAAGUGUUGGGAUUACAGGCGUGAGCCACCGCACCGGGCCAGGAUAGACUUUAAAACAAACAAAACACACAUUUUUUAGGACAACAAUGAACACAUACUCAGUGGAAUGUUGGCACACUCAAUAAAGGCCAUGUCAUUAGCACCAUCUCAAGUGCUGCAUAAUAUAUUUUUGUCCCAUUUAAUGAGACAGUUAAGGCAGGCUGUGCCAUAUGUCCAGCGGAACUUCCUGUUCCUGCUGGAGGUAAGUAAGAUGCACUUUAUAGCUAUGUCUGCAAGCUGAAUGCAUGGUGGGUGUAACUGAAAAUGUCAGUCUUUCUAAUUUCAUCAAGCAAAGCAGGGAUCGAUUGCUUAUUAUGGUAAACCAUGAGUACAGGGCAGUGUCUGGUAUAUCUAAGAUGCUCAAUAAAUAUUGGUGAAUGAAUGAAAAAAAUUCAAAUAUGUGUAUGACACGGUGCUAGGUGUUCAAGAAGAUAGAAAGGAACAUGCAGUCUAUCCCUCAGCAAGGAUAAAGCAAGUAGAUAAAUAAUUGUAGCACAAAGCUAAGUAAUUAUUACAUAAAAUAGUGUUUUUUUUUUUAAAUGUGUAUUACUGGAUUCUCACAACUGUAUCAUGAGGUAAACAUCAAUCUCAUUUUUCAGAGGAAGAGUAAACCUCAUCAAGAGGUGAUAGUACCAAGAAGAUGAAAUGCUAUAAGGAGUCCCUGCUAUAAUUGUAAUGAAAGAAAACCAAAGGGUUGGAUAAAAGAAAGUUACUGGAGGAUGUGUUCCACCAAAACAAUGGAAUGAAUCACAGGAAUGAGGAUCUAAUAAAGGAGAGAAGUUAAGGGAUUCCAAUGAUUACAAUGAUGAGAAAUCCCAUGGGAAUUUCAGCUCCAUCAAUCCAGGUAGGAGAAGGAUGAAGGUUUCCUCUAAGAGAGUCAUCUCCAAGACAAAAGACAAAGAAAUUGCUGGAUGUGACUGACCCCAUUGGUUGAAGUUUUACAGCUUAUCCCAAAGAAUUAAAAUGUAGUGGUGGCACAUAGAAAACUAAGCAACUGAAUAAAGAAUUUAAUGAUAGUUUAGUACACAGUAAAUAAAUUUAAAAGGCAAUUAUUAAUUCCAGGAAAAGCAGAAAACAUACAAGAAAGGAAACUGAAUUAUGGUAGAUUACUUAGCUUAACAAUAAAUAUUAUUUAUACAACCACAAUCAUGCAAACACUAUUAAUCUAACUAAAAUUGUGACACACAUGCAGAGGAUUGGCGAUGGUAUGUUUGUGAGUGUGAAUGUGUGUAUGUAUGUGUGUGUGUGUUGGGGGGGGGAGAGAGACAGAGAGAGAGAGAUAGAGAAACAGAAAGACAGAGAGAGAAAAGAGACUUCUGCCAAUCUACCAUCUUCCUUGGUAGGCAGUCAACUAAUAGGUAAUGGACUAUGUUGGUUACCCAACCAUUCAUAAUUCUUGCUCAUGGGGCCUAAAUUUUGUUUAAGUUUCCAAAUCAAACUGUCUCCUGUGUGAUUCAGAGAGAGCUGACAUCAUCUACAGCUCUAGGGAUAGAUAUGAAGCUAAACAUGAAUGGCAAUCAUUUUCCUCUGGCACGAUUGGUUUAAAAAUGGCCACAUGACCUAAUUCUGGCCAGUGACACAAGGGGAUGUCUUCUAGGCAGUUUCUGGGUAAAGACAGAAAUAUCAGCACUUCUUUUUCUUUUUCUGGGUAACUUCCUGUCAACAUAAUGCCCAGGACUUCUGCAAACAUGUUGUUACCAGUACAAGAACCAUAGGAGGGCAGGCCAAUAACAUCAGAGAGAAAGAGAGGCAGAGACCUAAUAGACUGUGCCUGGGGACUUCCCUGUCUCUGGACAACUUCAUAUGUGCAAUAAUAAGUUUUAUUUAAUUUCAGCCAAAUCAAGAGGCUAAGAAACAGCCCAGGGUUUCAUAGAUGAUAAGUGGCAAAAUCAGGAUUGGAACCCAGAUUGGCCUGAGUCAAAGACUUGAGGUCAACAUAAUUUCAUACUGUCAUUGUUGAGCAGUCUUUAAAGCAUCCUCUUAAAAAUGGAAAUCAAAUUUGUGAUAGAGAAAGAAAUUAGUGCGUGUGAAAGUGAGGGGAUGUGCCCUAUUGUCAACAAUAAAGACUACAAAUAAACUCUAGUAACUUACCUUCUAUUGUUUUAUUCUCACAAUAAAAGUGGUAUUUUUGGUUUUAGGUGGCUGCAAUGUCAAAAUUGAUUAGUUUCUUGACUAUGAAAUAAUUAUGUAACUUUAAUUACUUAAUUAUAGACCAUUGUCAAAUACACCUUAGCGAUAUCAACAACAAAUGACAACAAACUAUUACCUUAAAAAGAUAAUUCAAAUUAUUAUUUUAUCUGGGACACUAUAAUAUAUUCAAAAUAAUCCAGUUUCCCAAAUUCAGAAAAUUUAUUUUUUCUUUAAUAUGUUUUAAUUUUGAUAUAUUACAGACUAAAUCAAGUUAUAACAAUUUAAUUUAUUAUUUAGCAGAGUGAUUUGCUUUUGUAUGUAGGUAUUCAAAGAGAAAGCAGGAUCUAAUUCAUUUUGAAAGCUGAAAGACAAAGAGCAGUGUCUGGAAUGUGGUCCCUGCACUAAAACUAUUUGUUGAAUGAAAAACUGUGCAUCUACUUUAAGAAAAUCAUAAGUGGAAUAAAGAUAAAAUGAGAUUUUUGACUUUUGGGAUUGAUUUUGGCCAAAUUUGCUGUGUGGCUACUAAUUGUAUCAUUUAUUUAUUUUGAUUUAGG
rnacentral:lncRNA from 1 species